GAUGAACGCUGGCGGCGUGCCUAAUACAUGCAAGUCGAGCGAAUGGAUUAAGAGCUUGCUCUUAUGAAGUUAGCGGCGGACGGGUGAGUAACACGUGGGUAACCUGCCCAUAAGACUGGGAUAACUCCGGGAAACCGGGGCUAAUACCGGAUAACAUUUUGAACCGCAUGGUUCGACAUUGAAAGGCGGCUUCGGCUGUCACUUAUGGAUGGACCCGCGUCGCAUUAGGUAGUUGGUGAGGUAACGGCUCACCAAGGCAACGAUGCGUAGCCGACCUGAGAGGGUGAUCGGCCACACUGGGACUGAGACACGGCCCAGACUCCUACGGGAGGCAGCAGUAGGGAAUCUUCCGCAAUGGACGAAAGUCUGACGGAGCAACGCCGCGUGAGUGAUGAAGGCUUUCGGGUCGUAAAACUCUGUUGUUAGGGAAGAACAAGUGCUAGUUGAAUAAGCUGACACCUUGACGGUACCUAACCAGAAAGCCACGGCUAACUACGUGCCAGCCGCCGCAGUAA
rnacentral:rRNA from 1 species